ACUGUUUCUCAAGAACACUGACCACAUGCUGCACUUUCAGCUGAUCUCCCGUUUUCACUUUGUUAUAUAUCUGAAUGAGGGAUACAAAUACAAGUUUACAGCUGCAACCAAAAAGCUCCUUUGCUUACCAAAGUUCCAGAGGUGAUUGUGAGCUAAGAACAAAAGUUCCCCUGACAGCUUAAGAAUGCACCACCCAACAGCAAAUAAGAACCACAUUGGACGACAGUGUCAAACCGCAUCCCUUCUUUUCUGAUCCUAUUGCUAUUGAACAACAAGGGAUUGCUCUUUCAGAACAGAAAUCUCAGGGGACUUGUAAGAAGAUUCCAGGUAACUUUUACUACUAGACUAGGCAAACGUAAGUAUGUUUGACAUAAGUUUGUAGUUAACAUUCUCCUUAUUUUUCCUACUAAGUGAGACUGAAAUGUAUAACGAGAUCACCAUAGAUCUGCAUAGAUCUGCAUAGAUACAACAAAAGCUGUUGUUUGGCUUUGUUUUUAUUACCAUCCUAAACUUUGAUUUUGCACUAUAUCCAGAUUGCACUACCACGUGUAUUUUAAUGCUACCAAAUUCUGUACAAACGCCUGUACAAAGUUCCCAGGUGGCCGGAUGUUUUUCAGUGCUUUGCUAGGGCCAAGUACACAACAGAGCUGUUGAAACACUCUUCUGCAAACA